rnacentral:rRNA from 1 species
UACGUAGGGCGCAAGCGUUGUCCGGAAUUAUUGGGCGUAAAGAGCUCGUAGGCGGCUUGUCACGUCGGGUGUGAAAGCCCGGGGCUUAACCCCCGGGUCUGCAUUCGAUACGGGCAGGCUAGAGUGUGGUAGGGGAGAUCGGAAUUCCUGGUGUAGCGGUGAAAUGCGCAGAUAUCAGGAGGAACACCGGUGGCGAAGGCGGAUCUCUGGGCCAUUACUGACGCUGAGGAGCGAAAGCGUGGGGAGCGAACAGG